GUUGUAUUCACAUUGAUUUGUCUCUGACUGUCAUCAUGGAAGCUGUUUUGAAAUUCUUGAAGUUAUAUGUGGGACAUUUUGGGAUGUUCAAUCUUGUUCUCUUGGCUCUGGAGGAGAUUCUGGGAAAGAACUUUGUAUGUCCCUGCAGGAGUGACUUUAAUCAUUGGAUUAGUUUUUUCUAUGGCUUUGUCCCAGCUCUUGGAUGCUUCAUUUGUACAAUACUGUUUGUGGAUCUGUCACUACAAGGAGAAGAUGAAAAGGAGGUGAAGAUAAUCAAAUGUACCAAACAAAGAUUAUUCUACUCUAUUCUCGCUGUAUCUACCUGUGUGUCCCUUUUUUUCCUUGAUGGCCGAUACUUGGCCUGUGCUUAUUCAAAUUGGGAUGGUAUCUACACGUCUGAAGAUCUGGGGACUGGAAAAUGGUGCAAGCCGACUGGCAAUGAAACCUCAAAGUUAGAAGCUCAGAAGAGGACUCUGGAGGGGACAUUUAUAUCUCAGGUUACAGGACUUGCCCUAAUGCUUGUGGUUAUCUUGGUUUUGGCAAAGUUCAAGUAUAGUAACUCCCAAGCCAACACUGGAGCAGGUGGUCAAGGCAAUACAGAAGAAGAAGCACCAAUAAGACCCACGGAUCACCAGACCGCCCAUUAGACUUUGAUUGUUGAAUGCUAAAAUGUGACUAACUUUUGAAAAAAAAAAAAUUUUGUGUUAUAUAGUGCAUAAAUUAUGUUAAAUAUACUGUAUAUACACAGUACACAGAUGCAUAAAAAUGUAUAAUACUUGUGUCGGCGCUUAUUCUGUAUCAAAAUAUACCCAUGAAUAUAUUCAAAUAUUGUUAAAGUAACAUUAUACGUACAAUUAAA